AGGUAAUGCUUGGGAAUCUAGCUUAUGGAGGGGGAUAACUACGGGAAACUGUAGCUAAUACCGCGUAGAAUCGGGGGAGUGAAAGUGUGGGACCUUCGGGCCACAUGCCAUAGGAUGAGCCCAAGUGGGAUUAGGUAGUUGGUGAGGUAAAGGCUCACCAAGCCGACGAUCUCUAGCUGGUCUGAGAGGAUGACCAGCCACACUGGGACUGAGACACGGCCCAG
rnacentral:rRNA from 1 species